GACGUAGGUGGCGAACGUUAUCCGGAUUUAUUGGGCGUAAAGCGCGCGUAGGCGGCUUUGUAAGUUAGAGGUGAAAGCCCGGGGCUCAACCCCGGAACUGCCUUUAAGACUGCAUCGCUUGAAUCCGGGAGAGGUGAGUGGAAUUCCGAGUGUAGAGGUGAAAUUCGUAGAGAUGUGGAGGAACACCGAUGGCGAAGGCAGCCCCCUGGGCUAACACUGACGCUCAGGCACGAAAGCGUGGGGAGCAAACAGG
rnacentral:rRNA from 1 species